ensembl:lncRNA
CUUUAGACCUUUCCCGAACUCUUCCGAGGAGACUCUGCCUCGGGCCCGCCGGUGUAAUGAACUGCGCUCCACUGUCUGCGUCGUCCUCCUGAGUGAGUUUGUGUCCCGAAAUGCGGGGCUACGACAACGUGAGCGGUGCAGCUGCUCUGGGAGGCAGUCUUCCAGCCUCAGAGGCCGCCUCAGGCCAGCCGUGACGGCCGUCACACUCCUGGGUGCACGCCCAGCAGAAGUGGAAAUGCGUGUUCGUACAGUGACUUGGGCCCACAGCAGCGUUAUUCGUAACACCCAGAAGUGGCCAUUAACUGACAGUUGGGAGGCGGCCCAUCCACCCAGUGGGAUGCUGUUCAGCCGUGAAAGGAAUACAGGCCGGGCGCACGUCACAGCAGGAUGGUCCCUGAACACACGGAGCUCGACGACAGACGCAGAAAGCUGCGCGCUGCACGCCUCCAUCUGGAGAGACAGACGGACUCGGCGAGUCCGGGGCAGAGGCCAGGUGAGGCGCGGGGCUGCGAGCGAGGAGAGGGGCUGGGGGGUGACGGCACGGGCUUCCGUUGGGGAAUUAAAUGGCGCUGGUGAUAGUGCAGCUUUGUGAAUACCCUCGAAGCUUGCAGCUCACGGUUUCAGAUGGCGAGUUCACGGCACGCUAACUGAUGGCGAGUUCACGGCACGCUAACUGUAUCUUGGUAAACCGAAUGCUGGGCUUCCCCAGUGCUCACUGGUAGAGUCCACCCUCAGUGCAGGAGACGCAGAAGAUGGGGGUUCCAUCCCUGGGUUGGGAAGAUCCCCUGGAGGGGGGCAUGGCAGCCCACUCCAGUAUUCUUACCUGGAAAACCCUAUGGACAGAGCCUGGCGGGCUACAGUCCGCGGGGUCGGAAAGAAUCGGACACGACUGAAGUGACUGAACGAAGUGCAAACACAAAUAAUCUCAUCUUUGAAAAAUCCAGCCUCGUAUCAAAAGCAGCCUGUCUCUGGCGGCAGUUCGCCUCCGCUCCUUCAGUCCCUGGUCCACCUGCAGGUCUUCCCCCGUCACAUCUGGUGGAUGUGGGCAGUUUCACUUGCAAAAGGGCUCUUCCUGCCAUGACCCUGCCCAGCCCUGGCCAGGGCCCCCGCCUGCCCUCCUAGACAGCCUCCCUGCAGUCUCUCCUCUGCCAGCCAGAGGGAGGGUCACACUGUUCAUGCCCUCUCAGGCCCCCAGGCCUCCUGUCCCCCGGGUGGAGGUCAGUCGUUUCGGUGUGCCUUCUCCUGCCCCUGCCCUGCCCCAGCCCCAGGGCCCCGGCUGCUGCAGGACCAGGCAAGGUGCUCCCACCCCAGGGCCUUGACACCGGCUCCCUCUGCCCCAGAAGCUUUUCCCUAUGACACGCUCCAGCUCCGUUCUUCAGGUCCUUAUUCCCGAGUCUUCCCUGACCACUCAACUUAGGGUGGCAGCCUCCCUGGGUCUCCCAAAGCCCCUCCUCCCACUGGUCCAGUGCCCACUCCCAGCGUCCCCGCCCGGACGUGCGCUGUCUCCCCUCUGCCCUCACUGUCAGCCUGCCCCUGCCACCUUGGCAGCACCGCCCUCCUCCGUGGGGCACGGGGCCUCCACGGGGCCUGCCUUCUCGGCCUGUGCUGGUUUCUCCGCUUUGUCACGGCCUCGGGCUCAGCAUUCCCGUCCCUUCACUCCCGGCACAGCAACACUCCUGCUUUCCCCUCCCGGCACUCAGCCGCCCGUACCGGGCAGGCCUCGAGCCACCUGGGCCGAGGAACGCCCACUUCAGGUAACUCACUGGGCACGGAGCUGCCUUUCUAGGUUGUUGCUUGGUGUUGUCCGGGGCACAGGGACCUCGCCCAUCUGCACCCUGGUGGUGCCAAGCACGCAGAGCUGCACACCUCCCAGUGACCGGGGCAGCCCCCUGAGGCCUCUGCAGCCGCACCUUCUGCCCGGAGGCGUGCUCGUCCAGAUGGAGGCACCGCCCAGGGCCACCUUCCUUGCACCUACAGGGUAACGGGGGUGUGCGGGCCCCUUGUGCUCACCCUCCAGGCUGCUCCCGCAGAAUGACUUAAAAAUGCUGUUUGUUGGUAAGAAUACCACCGUGGGUGCUUCGUCUGGGAUCUCCUCCAACACGGUUCAUCUCGCCACCUCCCCGGCGCCCCGCUUUGCCCGUCGCCCCCAUGCACACCCUGCAACCCCCGCAAGGCUUCCAGCAUCUGGUCCAAGGAGCUCGGAGCUCCCCUCCUCCUGCUGUGUGGGGCCCGGAGCUCCCCUCCUCCCGCUGUGCGGGGGCCCGGAGCCAUGGAGGGUCCGUGAGGUGGGGAGGGGUCGGGUUGAGCUUUGCUUCCCUCGGUUCCCAACCUUCCUCUCUUGGCCUCUCUGGUCUCCCAGGAGCCCUUCAGUCUUCCUUCUCUGAGUCUCAGGCUGAUAGCCAGUCUCCUCUCAUCUCAAGGAAGGCCCCUAAGGCCUCCGCAGUGCCAAGCGGUGGCCCCAGCCGGCUUUGCCCUGACCCCAUGUCCUGACCUGGCUGACCCCCUGCCCUUCUCUGGGCUGGGACUGCGGGGGGAUGCUCCUGUCCACAGAGGCCUCCUGCACAAGCUGUGUGUCCCAGCCCGAUCUUCCGGCUGCGGCCUUGUUAGGAGACACGCGGGUGCCCCAGCACACCACCCGGGAGGGGCGGGCGUUCCUCCAGCUGUUGGCACUGCCGGCCUCCCUCUCACCGGAGCCAGGGCGGGGCUGGCGCUCCCUCUGGCCUUGCUGCAGAUGGGUUCUGGCCGCACGGCUGCCCUGGUCAGGCAGCAAACGCCUCGGGAGGGAUUUUAUCCUCUGAGUCAAGACAGGGACAGAGGGGAUUCUGAAUCCUCUCAAGUGUGCAAGCGAUUGUGCACACGUGUGUGAGUGUGCACCUGCCAUCUCUGGAGAGCUGGGUGAAGGAGCGUGAGCAGAUUUUUGGUGACCUGGAUGGGCAGGCAGGGAGGACGGGCCCUCCUCCCUGGGGGCAGUGUAGACAGUGCUGUGUCCUGCUCUGGCCCCUUGCUGCUGGUCCCUUCCACACCUGAGGUCCCCGGAUGCUCACCUACCUGCUCCCUCUCCCUGACCCUCGUCUGGGCCUGAGCACCAUCCCGCAAGCCACCGCAGCCUGCCCUCAUGAGGUCCCCGUGCUUCCCCAGCCCCCUUGAGCCAUGUCCUGCCUUCUUCCAGGAAGAUCAGGGACCAUGAGUCCCUCCCCUCUCCUGCUAGGAAAGCCCUGGGAGGGAGGUCACAGUGGCCUGGUCCUCGCCUGCCCCGUGGUGGGCUCUCAGAGCCCUCUUGUCCUCUGGGGGUGGAGGUGGCAGCCUUGAGGUUUGGAAAGAAGGGCCUGGACGCUGCUUCAGAGGCCCCAGGCCCCAGGGAUCCAGCCCGAGUCGGGGCAGAUGCCCCGGGGCUCCUUCUGCGGCACCUUUAUGAUGAAGAUGCAGGCGUCGGGGGUGGGGCAGGAGGACCCCAGCACGGCCAGCCCGGAGGCCCCGAAACGGUCAGUGCUGCUGCGGGUGUUAGGACCUCACUCAGAACAGGUUUGUACUUGUCCCAUGAAAGGACCUUGGGCCUCUGGGGGGCCUGUUCCUGGGCUCCUGGAAAGACCCCUCUGGUCUGGGGGCAGGGUCUGCACGGCGCUCCUUGACUGGAGCCUGCAUCUCCCCCAGGAGCAGCCUCUGAGGAGCAGCUGGCCGUCUUCCUUCACGUCACGCACUGCAAUGGGAUCCUGCUGCUCCGCCACCACGGACAGCUGGGCCCGCAGGCACAGACACCUGGGGCUUCCCGGAGGCCGCGGUGGUCUGCGGGGAGCUGGGCUGUGGGGCCCCCUUGGGUGCCCCCAGGGAGGUCCCGGGCCCUGAGAUCAUGGCUCAGCCCUGGCUGCACGGCCUGACCUCCAUCCAGGAGUGCGCUCUGGGUGCCUGGGGCCCUCGGCCCUGUCUGCACGACUGGCUGCCAGCCGUGAUGUGCGUGGGUGCGGGCUGCCCCUGCCCGCAUCCCCUCUGACGCUCGCACUGGGGCCUGUGCUGGACCUGGGAAUAGGAGGUGACCCUGCAGUCCUGCUCCCAGCGGGCAGGGAAGGGGCCCCGGUGCCACGGUCGCGGGGACCACCAGCCCUGGGUGCGCAGCUAUCAGAAGCACAGGAAGGGCCUGUGGCCUGGGGCCCGGGCUCAGGAGUUUCCCAGCCCUCUGAGCAGUGUCCAUGUGGGCAGCUCGCAUCUAUGUGGCCUGCAGGCCAAUGACUUGAGAGUGGCGAUGAGAUUCCCACUCCACAGGUCGGGGAGUCGGGGAGAUGCUAGUCCAGCCUGGCUGGUGGAACGGCGCUCAGAGGCGCCCGGAGUUUCAGCAGGGAGCCGAGCCUGACACUCUCAGUGGGCGGGCGAUUCUUGCCAGGCUCCUGACCCCUCGGAAGGGGGGUCUUGGUUGGAAAGACUGGGUCUUGGUUGAGUGGUGGUUACACGCGGACACAUCUGCCUACACCCAUCAAGCCGUAGGCUCAGAGUGUGUGCGUGGAGGAAGACCCGCACGGGGAGGCGGGUGGUUUGCAUGCAGACUUGGCAACACUUCCAAGGAGGGUCAGUCAGGGCUGUGGGGUCAAGGAUGGGGGUGGGAGUGCAGACUUUCAGAAAAGAGUAAUAAGCAAC